CUCACAGGUCUUCCAAAUAGUGAAAAUGGUGUUUUAUUUAAAUAAUAGGAUGCAUAUAGAAAUCGAUCGAUUUCUAUAUGCAUCCUAUUAUUUAAAUAAAACACAAUUUUCACUAUUUGGAAGACCUGUGAG